rnacentral:lncRNA from 1 species
CCUUAUCGACCCAAAGCAUCUCCCUUCAGAGUCACAACUCGCUAACUUCUUCACCAAAUUGUUACCCAUCUCUAGAUUUCGGCUGAUGACUGUCAAGUUGGGCUUGGUUUCGUUACCCCAGCUCCACCUUGAGGGGGGCGUGAAUGAGUAUGAACAGCCUAAGGGCCAACAUCAGUAGUAAAGCAAAAAGGAAGAAUCGAGAAGCUGCCGUUCUAACCAAAAUCAGAAAACCUAAAACUAAAACAUAACAUUUUGUAUUUAUAUUAAACCCACACACCAUACCUGUUUCACUUAACCCGAAUCCGUGUAACAAAUCCAACUAACCCAUUAACCCAUAUUGUACAGCUGUAAUUCUGUUACAUGAGAUAGUAUACAAUACAAUAGGUUCUAGAGUAAGGAAAUACAUCACACUUGUAAAUAUAAAUAGCACCCAUUGUACUGACUUUGAUGAUAGAGGAGAAAUACACAAAUUCUUCAUUUUGUUUACUUUCUGUUCAAUAACCAUCUAACUAAUGCCUGAUUACCCACUAAAAAGAUGUAGAAAAUGAUUUUAAUUGCAUUUGAAUCAAAAUAUAGGAGACUAGCAGCAUGCCUAUGCAUAAUAAAUAUCUUAUCUAUUAUCUUAGAGAUAGUGUAAUAAUAUUUUAAAAUAUAUAAUUUAAAUUAUUGAUAAUUUCAUAUUUGUUAAUUUUGUUGAAAAUUAUUUAAAUUAAAGAACAUCUAUUUCAAAAUCAAAACAUUAGACUAAUUAUAUAAAAAUUAAUGUCUAUAAUAAAAUUGAAAGAAAAUGAAAUAUAUAUUAAAAAUCAUUGACUUUAAUUUAUUUUUGAAUUAAUAAAUUUUCUUAGACGGUAUUAAAAAUAAUGAAAUAAAUAAAAUAAAAUGGACAAUAGAAAUUCAAUCAUAGACGUACAUAUAUCAUUCUUAACGAUAAUUUCGUAUAAACCGUACAUAUAUCAUUCUUAACGAUAAUUUUGUAUAAACUGCUUUUUUUUUUAUUUAUCAAACUUUUCCUAAUUUUAUAGAGUAAUAUAAAUUAGAAAAGGAAACAUAUAUCAAUGUCGAAAAGAAAUUGUAUAAGAAUUAUUGAAAUUAAAAAAAAAAUCUUACCAAACCUCAAAAAGCUCUCUCUAUUUAUAGUAUAGUAAUAAGCAACUAAUGACAAUUCAAUAUAUUAUCAUUAAUUUAAAAGAUAACUCAUAAUACAUAUUAAUAUGAUAAUCAACAUCAAAAUUAUGAUAAUUUUUAAUUAAAAAAUAGGUUAUAAUAUUAUAAUAAUAUUAAUUAUUUAAUACGUAUUAAUAGGAUAAUUAAAUGACAAUUAAAACCAAUAUUAUGUAAUUUUAAUUGAGAAAGAUAGGUUAUAAUAUUAUAAUAAUUAUAAUUAUUUACUAAUAUGUAUUAAUUAUGAUAAUUAAAUGAUAAUUAAUAUCAAUAUUUAUAUAACACUAUAACUAAUAAUUAAAUUUUAUGCAGACACUAUCAAAUUUUAAGAAUUCUAUAUAGUAUUAUAAUCCUACGUGUCAUCACUAAAAAUCUUAUGUUGCGAGAGGAAGUAAGAGCAUUCAUUUAAUAAAUGUCACAUGUCAACUUAUUCGGAAAAAAUACUUGCUAUAUAUAUGUAUAUUGAUUAGGGUUCUGUGGUUACCUACAAUGUAAAAAAAAUUCUUUUUAUUAGGAAUGAGGUUGUUAGAAUGCAAUUAAUGGAGGCUAUAACGGGAAUUUCAGGCCAAUUCCACAUCAGCUACGCAUUACAUGGCAAAAAUCCAAUAAUUUGUCACCAAGUCACUUGUCAUGUCAUUAAACAUGAGCCGUACAUAAGCACAUUAUUUUUUCGAUUUGCCAUAUCAUUCAAAGACUCUUAAUUGCAAACUUUUAUAAAUUCAGACACUUAAUCAUUACUAUUACACCAAAAUAGAUAAAAAGUGAAAGUUUAGACACCAAUAUAAUUAUCCAUGUGAAAAUGAUAUAGAUCAAAACAAAUAAAAGCCUAUCAACGUGUUACUUGUGGUUCCGCUGUUUUAACUGUUAGAUUUUUUUUUUUUUUUUCCAAAACUGAGCCACAUUGACAAAUCAAAUUAUUUUCAAAGCAGAAACCGUAACCAUUCUAAAAACUGAAAAAUUGAGGCAAGUAACCGAAAUUAAUCAAUUUGGUGCAGUUUCCCGAAUUUUUUCCGAAGUUUGCUCGGCCCUGCGAAGUAUGUUGCUAAAUAGGCGAGGCUGGCUUUCAAUUAAUGCACAUAGACCUUUAAAGGCAUGUCUACCAGAGAGACCCAUAAUGUUAAGGGCAGAAAGCUCAAGAUUAGAGCUCAUGUAGGAAAUGACAAAUCAGGCAAAGGCCACUUGGGCCUAGGAACCCAACUGUGUAAAUAUUUUACAAAUUGUAUAUACUAUACAUAAUGUAAAAAUAACAUAAGACUAUAAAUAUUUUAGAAAAUUUAUUUUACUUGGAGGCACUCCACAAACUCGUAUAAACAGUGGGUGAUAAUACUGUAAAUGAUACGGGAAAUCCAAGACAAACCAAACAACUCACGGCCUUGUUAAUUGGCACUAUCCUACCCAUCCGCUUGGCAGCCUCAUAGACGCAAGACCUAAAAGGCCUGGUCUGGUCACUUUUGGAACCAACAGCUUUAUAGCCCAAACUGUACCUUACCUUGUCUCUUCUUACCUUACAUUUAAUAUAGCUUUCCUAACCCCAUCCAAAUGAAGCCUUAUGUGGCUGAAUCCAACACAAGGCGGGCUAAGAAUAACUCCGAUGUGAUUGUGGGUUGUGAUUUAUAUGGUAUAUUAAAUAAAAGAUAUUAAUAGUGAUGUGAUUAUAAAUCUAUUUAUGAAAAAGGACUCCUUAAUAUAUCCUAAUUAGAAUGGAAAUUUACGAUGAUAUGUAUUUAAUUUUUAAAAAUAAAAGAAAAUAAGUUGAGCGUGAGAGAAGAUAGUGGAAAAAGAAAAUAAAAUUAAUAGUAAAAAAAAAGAAUUAAAUAGCUGAGUUACAUUAUCUAACAAAUCUUUUGAAAAUAGAGGGUAAGGUUCACACUGUCUACUUUUUUUUACACAGAAUUGUGGAUUGUAGCUUAUCUAAUUGCCAAAUCAGAAAAAUAGACAGUUGAACAACAAUAUCUUUUCCAAUACUACUGUCUAUUCAAUCUGUAAAGCUGGCAUGUAAAAAAAAAAAAGUAGACACUAUGAACCACUCAGAAAGCCUGUUAAACAAUGUAACUCAGCUAUUUAAUUUUUUUUUACUAUUAAUUUUAUUUUCUUUUUCCACCAUCUUCUUUAACACUAAAACUUCUCACGCUCAACUUAUUUUCUUUUAUUUUCAUCAGAUAUGAUUUUAAAAAAAUAAUACACAUCAUCGUAAAAUCAUAUUUUGAUUAGAAUACACUGGAGAGCCCUUUUUUAAAUUUAAUAUUUACAAAUAGACUUAUAGCCACAUUACUAUUAACAUAUUCAAUUUAAUAUGCCAUAUAAGCCACAUCUCACAAUCACAUUGGAGUUACUCUAAUGCUAUCCAUAGUUCACAUCCACGACUUGCAAUUUAGGAAGUUGAUCACGUAAUGGGUUAAGAGGUUAUUGCUUAAUAAAAUUAUUUAAUAGAUAAGAUAUCUGAAUAAUUUUAAUGAGUGUAUUUUUUUACAUAUUUGAUCUUUUAUAUUUUUUUAUGUCAUAUAUUGUCACGACCCGAUUCUAUGGCCGGACCGGCACUAGGGCCCAGAUAAGCUUAAGGCCCUUGAGGCCCGUAGUAAGCCUGAAACACUAAAAAUUUACUAUCUCGAUAUAAUUUGAAACAUUCAGCCCAUAUGUAUAGAAAAUAAACCUCAAGAUUUAAUUAAAUCUCGGCCCAAAUUUAUCAGCUACAACAUUCCACAGUUCGGGCCCAAUUAACAAUACAUCACAUUUUUAAUAUGGGCUCACAUAAUUAGAUCGUCCAUGUUAAUACACGACUAAUUGUACGCAACUUCUACAACUGCGGAGUCACUAACUGUUUGAUAUACAUAGCUUCUUAUACAUAUAGUUACAUAGCAAAAUAAUUAUGGAACUAGAAAAAUUUCUUUAUAGCCCUGCGGCGAAGAAACAUAGCUUAAACAAAAUUAAAGAGAAACUUACUUUCUGAAAAUUUAAACAAGACAUGUGAGUUUUCUAAGGAGUAAUAAUUAUUGCACAACACACGCANNNNNNNNNNNNNNNNNNNNNNNNNNNNNNNNNNNNNNNNNNNNNNNNNNNNNNNNNNNNNCAGUCACACAAAUGGCAUAUCACCAGCACUCACAAUCAUUAACAUAUUCAUAUAAUCACAUCACGUGAAAAUUGGUCUGUGGCGUCACCGAAACCCCCGAUGAGCCAUCCUCCCACAUGGCCCAUCCUCUCAAAACGUGUACACCAGGGAGCCGAUGCCCCAUACAUGGCCGACCGGUCUAAUCCUCACUUGACCAGCNNNNNNNNNNNNNNNNNNNNNNNNNNNNNNNNNNNNNNNNNNNNNNNNNNNNNNNNNNNNNNCGGUAACGGUAACGGUAACGGUAGGUGCACACGGGGGCGCCGAUCUCCCCAUACAUGGCCGACGGUAGACCAUCCUCACAUUCCCAUGGUGACCCACUUCAUCCCAAUUCAACACAUACAAUGCAUAGCAUUAUCACAAUACAAUUAAUCAAGCAUUGCAAUUAAAUGCAAGCAUGUUAAUCAAUUAAACUUCGUAAUGCAAUGCACAAUUUAGACAUCCAAAAUCAAAUGCAAAUAAAUAAAUAAAUAACAGUAACAAUAAACAACAAUAAUAAAAUAAAUAAUAAUAAUAAACAAUAAUAAUGAAAAUAAAUAAAUAAAUGAUGGAAUAAUUAAAUGGUUAAUAAUGAUAAUAAAUAAUUAAUUAGAGCACUUUAUUUAUUAUGUAUCAAAUUAUAGAAUUAAUCUAGGUUCUAUCGAAAUUUCGGCAGAACAUCCCCUAGAAAUAUGACUAUCUACCUAUUUAAAUAUCACAAUAAAAUUAUAUAUUUAUCAAUCAAUACACACAGCCCAUCCGUCGGGCAACUCACAACACCCCACCCCGUCCGCCAUAACCUUAUUUAUCAAUCAUUCGAUUACUCAAUUCACACAGCCCAUUCAUCGGGCAGUCAAUUGAAUCAACCCAUUCGCUUCAGGCUACAUUGUCAUCCAUCACACUCACAUUUAUACACUUAAUAAUUCCAAAUCAAUUAAUUAACAGUUUAUAUUAACCUCCAAGCAUGAUCCAAUGAUAUUAUUAAUUGCUCUAUAAUUAUUUACUUGUCUAAGCCUUAAAUUAUAACUCUCCCCUAUCAAUAUUUAUUAAAAUUCCUAAAUUAGCUUACAUCAAUAUUAUACUGACUGAUUCUUAGCAAAAUUAUAUUUGAUUGAUUAUUCAUUCAAAUUCAAUUUAAUUAACUAAUAAUUAUUAAUUUAUAAUUUAUACCGAAAAUGAGGAAAUUGGUCUUAGAACGUACCAAUUGAGAAUCAGGCUACGAUUCCAUGAUCAGCGCGAAGAGAAGAGAAUUCUGUCUCUCGGGGCCUCGCCGGAGUUUCGCCGGUCGGUCGCCAGACCGCCGCCACCAGCCGCCGUGCACGGUGGCCGGAAAGUCGUUAUUGCCCAGAAUCACGCACUUCAUACACCUUUAGAAUCAAAAUUUCACCAAGAACUCAAAUCCAUGCUCCAAUUGUUGAGUCUAUGGUCCGUUUGGCCCAAACCAACGCCGACCGAAGCUUAAUGCCGCCAUCAAUGGUGGUUUCACCACCGGAGCCCAAUCGUCAGAACCAAGGGAUGGAAAACACGCGCAAGACCAAGAGGAGUCGAUCGAAGGUCCUCUCGUCGGCUGUAUCUGCCCGAAACGGCGAGAAUCGCCGGAGAAGAGAAAUCGGAGGGCAGCGUCACUUCGAGCAUGAUUCCUUUCGUUUCCGGCUUCUACUGCGUGAACGGAGACCAUAGGUGGGUUCCUAUCGUCGAGCACUUGCAGUUAGGGUGCUUGGUUGUCGGAAUCUGUGGCUGAUGGCCGGAAAACGCAGUGAAUAAGGGAGGAGGAGGCUAUCGCGUGACUGGAGAAGAACAAGGAGAAGAGAGGAAGAUAAAGAAACCAAGUCGGUUUCUAGAUCAUUCUGGUUCGAUUCGAGCCGGUUUGAUCUGAUUCAACGGUUUGGCUUGAUUUUUGCUCUAUUUGCAGGUUUUUCACUUGGUUUUCGGAUUAUUCAUGUGGUUUUCGAAAAAUCAAUUUGAGUUUCGG